AAACCGCAAGUUUCAACUCAACUACUCUUCUCCUACAACAUCAAAACAAAAGGGACAAAAACAAAAAAAUAAAAGCCUUGUUUGGACGAAAAUUGAUUGACCAACACUUUUCGAAUGUAGUUUUUGGACGAAAUUUGCUGAAAUAACAAGGAUUCGCGGGAUGCACGAAUUUGUUUUUUAAGUCUCACAACCUACGUCCGCUCAGGAAUUGUGUGAUAUGGAAACAAUGGCUGUUUUCUUAUUUAAAAUGUUGUUUAUAAAGUAGUAUGCGAAACUAAAUCUAAAAAAGGUCCCCAAAUAGAGCUCUACUUAAUCGUAAAUACCUUUUAGCUUGAACGUUUCUUGUAUCCCUAAAAAGGAAUAGUAGGUUAAAUUCCCAACUGUGAGGCUGCGCUUCUUUUAUGAAAAGUGUUUUUAAGGCUCGGAAAAUCUACGUUUGCUCAAGAAUUGUGUGAUAGGGAAAUGAUUGGUGUUUAUUUUAUUUAAAAUGUUGUUUAUUAAGUAUUAUGCAAUACUAAAUCUCAAAAAGGUACCCAAAUAGAGCUACUACUUAAUUGUACCUACCUUUUUAGCUUGAAUGUUUCUCGUAUCCCUGAAAGGGAAUAGUAGCUUAAAGUCCCAAUUGUGAUGCUGUGCUUCUUUUUCUAAACUAGGUUGUAGUUGUGAAACAAGGGAUGAAAAUAUACCAUCUAGGGGCAUACCUACAAGUGUAACAAUGCGUGCACUCCAAAAUAUAUAGCAUUUUUGGUUCAAUUUUGAAGCCAAUUAUUUUUCAGUGGCUUCCUACGGCUGGUAGAUUGGAUCCUUGAGCUUCAAGGGAAUCAUGUGACAGAGAGAAGUUCUACGAUGCUUAUUAUACUCCAGUUGAAUGAUUAAAAACAUAGCAGGUUAACAAACAUACCGGUAUAACGUAAACAAGCACCGUAUCGGCGUAUUUGUGCCAUGCACGAGAGCACGAGAAUGGAUUUUAUGUUCAAUGAUAUUUAGCUCUAAUCGACUUAAAAUUUAAUAUUAAAUUUGAUUUUUUUUAGAAGAUGAAAUUUGAAUGUGAGGAGAAAUGUAAGGGGAUUUGAAAGAUUUUUUUCCCUUCGAAGUGAAAAUCAAAAGAGAGCUAAAUAAUUUUACCUUCGUUGCACCAUGGCCAUUAUGUCACAGUACAUGCCACUAGACAGCCAAAACAAUAAUCAAGUCGUCCACCACGAUGCUGAGCCACUACGGCAGGGUUCAGCCGUGGUGUAACGAAGAAACAGAUGCACGAGCAGUUAUGCUGAAGGGAAAGGUUGCAGGAAAGUGGGGAUUUUCCAUUGGCGAAGAAACUUCAGAUCCAGACAUUGUGAAUCAUCCAUAUAUACAGGAUUAAGUUAGACACACUCUUGUGUUUCUUCUUUUUCUUUCACCUUCGUGUAAAUAGUAUUAGUGAGAUGUAAAGAAGCCUUGUAGUUGAGAGUUGUAUUAUAAAGAAGAAUGUAUAACUUUAUAUGUGGAAUUGUCAUCAACGGGGACAAAUAUAGGAAAACUAGUGAAAGUGUGUCGAAUAAGAGAAGCUACAGUCCCUGGGGGCAUGGUUUUUAGUU